rnacentral:lncRNA from 1 species
AUGCCCCGCAUGGUCUCCCAGUGCUUCCAGUCCAUCCCAGUGUGGUCUCCCAGUACAGCCCAGUGCUCCCAGUCCAUCCCAGUCCGGUCUCCCAGUCCCUCCCAGUGCUCCCAGUCCAGCCCAGUGUGGUCUCCCAGUCCAGCCCAGUCCAUCCCAGUGCUCCCAGUCCCUCCCAGUGCUCCCAGUCCCUCCCAGUGCUCCCAGUCCGUCCCAGUCCAUCCCAGUCCAUCCCACUCCGGUCUCCCAGUCCAUCCCAGUCCAUCCCAGUGCUCCCAUUCCCUCCCAGUCCUCCCAUUCCCUCCCAGUCCUCCCAGUCCAUCCCAGUCUUCCCAGUCCCUCCCAGUCCGUCCCAGUCCCUCCCAGUGGGUCCCGGUGCCGCACUCACACGUGACCCUGAGGGUGACGCUGGCGCUGCCCCCUCCCCCGGCCUCGCUGCGGCUGUAGCAGCGCAGGGUGACGCCGUCGUCCCCGCGUGUCACCGGCAGCGUCACCCGGCUGCGGGACAGCGCCGCGCCCACAGUGUCACCGGCACCCGGCGUGACAACGGCACCCACUGUGUCACCGGCACCCAGAGUGUCACCCUGCCACGGCACCGCCAGCGGGACCCCGUCCUGAGGGACAGCGGGGGACAAGGGGGGGGACAAUGGGUGAUAAGCAGGUGACAGUGGGUGACAAUGGGGGGCAGUGGGGUGAUAAUGGGGUGAUAAAGGGUGACAAUGGGGGACAGUGGGUGACAAUGGGGGACAAUGGGGACAAUAGGCGACAAUGGGGUGAUAAUGGGUGAUAAUGGGGGGACAAUGGGUGACAAUGGGGGACAAUGGGUGAUAAUGGGGGACAAUGGGGUGAUAAUGGGUGACAAUGGGUGACAAUGGGGUGAUAAUGGGUGACAAUGGGGUGACAAUGGAUGACAAUGGGGGACAAUGGGGUGAUAAUGGGAGACAAUGGGUGAGAAUGGGGGACAAUGGGUGACAAUGGGGUGAUAAUGGGGGACAAUGGGUGAGAAUGGGUGACAAUGGGUGACAAUGGGUGACAAUGGGGGACAAUGGGGGACAAUGGGUGAGAAUGGGUGACAAUGGGGGACAAUGGGGUGAUAAUGGGUGAGAAUGGGUGAUAAUGGGUGACAAUGGGGUGAUAAUGGGGUGGCAACAGGGGACAAUGGGUGACAAUGCGGUGAUAAUGGGUGGUAAUGGGUGAUAAUGGGUGACAGUUGGGUGACAGUGGGUGGCAAUGGGUGGCAAUGGGGUGAUAAUGGGGGACAGUGGGUGAUAAUGGGGGACAAUGGGAGACAAUGGGUGACAAAUGGGUGAUAAUGGUGACAAGGGGGGACAAUGGGGUGACAAUGGGUGAUAAUGGGUGACAAUGGGUGACAAUGGGGGACAACGGGACAAUUGGGUGACAAUCAGUGAAAAUGGGUGAUAAUGGGUGACAAUGGGGUGACAAUGGG